rnacentral:RNase_P_RNA from 1 species
CGAGUAAGUCAGAUGGUCGCAUGUCUGAUGGCAUGAGGAAAGUCCGAGCUCCAUAGGGCAGGAUGCUGGGUAAUACCCAGUGGGGGCGACCCCAAGGAUAGUGCAACAGAAAUAUACCGCCUGUCUUUAUGACAGGUAAGGGUGGAAAGGUGAGGUAAGAGCUCACCAGCAACUAGGCGACUAGUUGGCUCUGUAAACCCCAUCCGGAGCAAGACCAAGUUAGGGACAUAAAAGGUGGCGGCCCGUCACUGUCCCGUAUGGUAGGUCGCUUGAGCCUAUUGGCAACAAUAGGCCUAGAUAGAUGACCAUUUUGAUACAGAACUCGGCUUACAGACUUGCUCGUUAC